rnacentral:snoRNA from 1 species
CCGGCGGUGAUUAUUUGCAUUUUACCAAUUGUUCCGACUGAAUAACCAUUUGUCGACAACUGCAUUAUCGUUAAGUUUCAGCCUUGUAUGAGCCUU